GAUGAACGCUGGCGGCGUGCCUAAUACAUGCAAGUCGAGCGGACGGACGAGACGAUUGCUUCUCUGAUGUUAGCGGAGGACGGGUGUGUAACGCGUGGAUACCCUACCUAUAAGACUGGGAUAACUUCGGGAAACCGGAGCUAAUACCGGAUGAUAUUUUGCACCGCAUGGUUCAAAAGUGAAAGACGGUCUUGCUGUCACUUAUAGAUGGAUCCGCGCUGCAUUAGCUAGUUGGUAAGGUCACGGCUUACCAAGGCAACGAUGCAUAGCCGACCUGAGAGGGUGAUCGGCCACACUAGAGCGGAGACGCGGUCCAGACGCCUACGGGAGGCAGCAGUAGGGAAUCGGCCGCAGUGGGCGAGAGCCUUACGGAGUAGCGGCGCGUGAGUUAUGGAGGUCUUCGGAUCGGAAUACUCUGUUUUGGGUUAAGAACAGAUUUGGAAGGAACUGAGCACAUCUUGACGGUACUGAGUCAGAAAGCCACGGCUAACUACGUG
rnacentral:rRNA from 1 species